rnacentral:rRNA from 1 species
AGGAGAGUUUGAUCAUGGCUCAGGAUGAACGCUAGCGGCAGGCUUAAUACAUGCAAGUCGAACGGUAACAGGAGAGCUUGCUCUCGCUGACGAGUGGCGCACGGGUGCGUAACGCGUAUGCAACUUGCCCUCAACUAGGGGAUAGCCCAGAGAAAUUUGGAUUAAUACCCUAUAAUGUAUUUGAAACACAUGUUUUAGAUAUUAAAGCUUAGGCGGUUGAGGAUGGGCAUGCGUCCUAUUAGUUAGUUGGUGAGGUAACGGCUCACCAAGACAGCGAUAGGUAGGGGGCCUGAGAGGGUGAUCCCCCACACUGGUACUGAGACACGGACCAGACUCCUACGGGAGGCAGCAGUAAGGAAUAUUGGGCAAUGGACGGAAGUCUGACCCAGCCAUGCCGCGUGCAGGAUGACUGCCCUAUGGGUUGUAAACUGCUUUUAUAUAGGAAUAAACCCCUUUACGUGUAGAGGGCUGAAUGUACUAUAUGAAUAAGCACCGGCUAACUCCGUGCCAGCAGCCGCGGUAAUACGGAGGGUGCAAGCGUUAUCCGGAUUUAUUGGGUUUAAAGGGUGCGCAGGCGGAUAAUUAAGUCAGUGGUGAAAGCCCGCAGCUCAACUGCGGAACUG